AUGAAUGGGGGGUGGUGUGUCUACACGUACUCCAACACUCAAGUCAGUGAGUGUGAGACAUUAGGUUUUGUGAGACCCAUGAAUUUCCUUAUAACACAUAGAUAAAUAUUUAUUCUAUUUAUAUGUGAAAAUAUUAUAACAUUGUUUCUAGUUCGGUCCAUUUAUCAAAAUUUUCAAUUUCCUCCUACUUUUCUAGUAGGCAAGAUGGACUCAAUCUCAUAUUCAUAGUAAGCCUCAACAGAAUACAAUUUGCUCAUAGAAUGAAUAAAUUAAUUGAAUAA
rnacentral:lncRNA from 1 species